UUAAUCAAAUACAUUUUUAAAGGGUGGAC
rnacentral:sRNA from 1 species